rnacentral:rRNA from 1 species
CCCUUAGAUGUUCUGGGCCGCACGCGCGCUACACUGAUGCAUGCAACGAGUUCUAUCCUUGGCCGGAAGGCCUGGGUAAUCUGUGAACGUGCAUCGUGAUAGGGAUAGAUUAUUGCAAUUAUUAAUCUUGAACGAGGAAUUCCUAGUAAACGCAAGUCAUCAGCUUGCAUUGAUUACGUCCCUGCCCUUUGUACACACCGCCCGUCGCACCUACCGAUCGAAGGUAAUGAUGAGCCCUCAGGAUUGUGGCCUCGUCGCGUCAGCGUCUUGGCUGCGAGAAUCUGUGCAAAUCCCUACCUUUAGAGGAAGGUAAAGUCGUAACA